UACGUAGGGGGCAAGCGUUGUCCGGAAUCAUUGGGCGUAAAGCGCGUGUAGGCGGCCCGAUAAGUCCGCUGUGAAAGUCCAGGGCUCAACCCUGGAAUGCCGGUGGAUACUGUCGAGCUAGAGUACGGAAGAGGCGAGUGGAAUUCCCGGUGUAGCGGUGAAAUGCGCAGAUAUCGGGAGGAACACCAAUUGCGAAGGCAGCUCGCUGGGACGUCACUGACGCUAAGACGCGAAAGCGUGGGGAGCAAACAGG
rnacentral:rRNA from 1 species